rnacentral:rRNA from 1 species
UACGUAGGGGGCAAGCGUUGUCCGGAAUCAUUGGGCGUAAAGCGCGCGUAGGCGGCCCGGUAAGUCCGUUGUGAAAGUCAAAGGCUCAACCUUUGAACGCCGAUGGAUACUGCCGGGCUAGAGUCCGGAAGAGGCGAGUGGAAUUCCUGGUGUAGCGGUGAAAUGCGCAGAUAUCAGGAAGAACACCAAUGGCGAAAGCAGCUCUCUGGGACGGUACUGACGCUGAGACGCGAAAGCGUGGGGAGCGAACAGG